rnacentral:ncRNA from 1 species
UUACACAUGCAAGUCUCAGCACACCAGUGAGAACGCCCUUUUAACCUUCAUCAGGCCAAGGAGCCGGUAUCAGACACAAUCCUAGUCCACAACGCCUAGUCUCACCACACCCCCAAGGGUACUCAGCAGUGAUAAAUCUUGAGCAUAAGCGACAGCUUGACUCAGCCAGAGAAAAGAGGGCCGGCCAACCUGGUGCCAGCCGCCGCGGCUACCCCGUGGGGCUCAAGUUGAAGGCCAUCGGCGUUAAGCGUGAUUAAAGUUCAAUUAGAUUAAGGCCAAAUUAAUAACCUAGUAGUGUAAAGCUUGUUAUUAAGAAGAACACAAACGAAAGUUGCCCUAACCAUCAUACUUGAAUACACGACAGUUGGGAGACAAACUAGGAUCAGACACCCUACUAUGCCCAGCCGUAAACAAUUAACUCACACCCAUAAGCGCCAGGGAACUACGAGCCAUGCUUAAAACCCAAAGGAUUUGACGGUGUCCCACCCCCCUAGAGGAGCCUGUUCUAUAAUCGAUGAUCCCCGAUACACCCGACCACCCCUUGCCCAUCAGUCUGUAUACCUCCGUCGAAAGCUUACCAUGUGAACGUCUACAGUAGGUUCAAGGACCCGCAUUAGCGCGUCAAUACGUCAGGUCAAGGUGCAACUUAAGGAGUGGGAAGUAAUUGGCUACAAUUUCUAAUCUAGAACAAACGAAAGACUGUGUGAAAUCACAGUCACGAAGGCGGAUUUAGUAGUAAAAAGAAAAUAGAGAGUUCUUUUUAACCCGGCUCUGGUACGCGUACACACCGCCCGUCACCCUCUUCGAUAGUGCUAUUACCACGAUCCCUAA